rnacentral:lncRNA from 1 species
CAUUUUUAAAGUCUCAAAUGGACAAGUAUUGUAACCACAACAUAGCAUAGUUUGUCUUUCCCAGCAACAAUACAGAACCCACACUAUGUCUACGGAGCCUCUAUAGAUAAAGAAGAGUACAAUGAUAAUGCCGGCAAUAAGGCCCCGGCUAUACCUCAAACAAAAUACACAAAGUACAAAAGAUUCGUGACCCCGGAAUGAAGUGGGGAUCACCAAGUCAGCUAGGAAGAAGGUGAAUUGCUAUCACUGACCAAUAUCUCCUGCUGUGGAGCCACCUGUAUCCAUUGAAAAAUGCAGCGCCCCCGGUAAAAAGGAUGUUAGUACUGUCGAAUAGCACUAGUAUGCAUAACUAAAUACCCUCUCAAUAGAAUGGCAAAUAAUACAAAUAAGAUUAUCAUAAUAUCAAUGGAAGCCUUAAUUAACAUCAAACCUUAAUUUAGGAUCAAGACAGUGUUCAAAUUAAUUUCCAUAUCUCACAUUGUGAGAUUUUUAGUAUCGAUAUACCAUUGUCCACAAUACCAGUACCAUUAUUCACCAUACCAAUACCACUAUUCACAAUACCAUUAUUCACAAAACCAGUAGCACCGCACUCUUAGCACGGAGUCCGAUCACGACCCGAUCGGUGAGUCUAUCUCAGUAGAGACAUCAACCACAAUUUCUCUCAAUAUCAAUACCACCGUCUUUAACACGGAGUCAGAUCACGAUCCGAUCGGCUAGGCUAUCCAUUAGGGACAUCGUCUACAGUCACCAUUUCAAUUACAAUUUCCAACACAAUCACCACCAUGUGUGCAACAUGGUGUCCGAUCACGACCGGAUCGGCUAGGCUGUCUUAUUUGAUACAUCAACCUUUUUAUAUCAAUCAUCGCAUUUCAUAAUACUUUCACAUCUUUUCAUUUCAUUGGCACUAGUGGCCAUAAGUAUAAGAUCAUUCUUGGAACGUUGGCCAUAUUCAAUAUUUCAUGCUCACAUUAUCAAUUUCAAAUAUCAUCCUCAUCAUCAACAACAAACACAAUUCAAAUCAAAGUGUGUAGUACAUAUGUGAGCAAUUUAGAGUCUAAUGCACAUAGAGAUAUUUCACAAAAUCUGGCAUAAUAGCCUUCAUUUGAACUUGACUUAAAGUCGAAACAUUAUUAUUGCACAUCCCAUAUUUUAACACAUCCUUAAUUGGUAACAUAACAUGAAUAAAGCAUUUGGGAUGCUUGUUGAACAUAUAUCUUUCAACCCAAUCUUACCCGGAAUAGCCAGUUUCAUAAUGAAUCACUCGGGACUUACAUAAUUUACAUGAAUAUCGUGGGAUUCAAUUCUAAGAGAAGAGUUUAGCCAACAUACCUCACUUGAGCUCCCUUACACUCUAAAUUUUCCGGAAUUCUUAGCAACUUUAAUCUACUGUAGAAAUAUAACAAAUUGAAUCAAAAUUAGGAUGAUGAUUAGCUCAUUUGAGCAUUUUAUCAAACACUAGGUGUGCACCAGGUUUCAAGGUCCUUUUAUGGAGGAUUCCAUCAUCCCACAACCCAAUCUUUAUCAUGCUUAGUUCAACAAUCUUCCUAUACCCCUUGAUAUCACAUGCAUGUAAAAUAAUCAACUCACAUGCCCAAAAUUUAUCUUGCUAAUUAUCCAUUUUCAGAUGAUUUUGAAAUUAGGGUUUAGGGUGUAGAAUCUUACCUCUAAGAUGAAGACCUAGUGAGCUUGCCUUCUUAAUCUUCCAAAACUUGAGCAAGAAUUGAAGAACAAUUAUUGAAGAAUACAUUCUCACUCUAGGGCACUCUCUCUCACUCUAAAAUAUCAGAUUAUGUCUCAAAAAUGGCCCAAAGAGUGUAUUUAACGAAAUAGGGUCGGGUUUUAAAAACCCAAAAAUGGAGCUCCGGAACAAGGUAUGCGAUCGCAUAUGCGAUCUUAUAACUGAUAUGCGGACCGCAUAUCGGUCGCAUAAUUGGUUACAAAAUAGCCAAAAGAACUGUUUGUGUAUGCGGUCACUAUGCGGUCCGCAUAACUAUUAUGUGGUCGCAUAAUGCACCGCAUAACUGUUAUGCGGUCGUAUAGUCGACCGCAUAGUUGCUUCCAAAUGACCCAAUUAACUGCCUCACUCUACAUCCAUUAUGCGGUCCGUAGAGUGGUUCUGCGGUCGCAUAAUGGAAUUCAGAAAUGUACUUUUCUGCCAAAUAUUUUUCUUUACUUUUCGGUACAUUGUUCAACCCAAAAAGUCAUCCUCAAACACGUAAGCCUAGUCCGGCACCAUGAAACAUUAUUUUCUUUGCAAAUUCUAUCGAGCUUUACACUUAAGUACUUCAAAAUUUUUCUGGGUGUUACAGAUCACAACAUAAUAAUAAAAAAUAUGAAGUUUAGGCAAACAUGAGAAGUUAUUAAGGAACAUUAAGAAAACUUAAUCAUGUAGACUAUUUGAAAUCAGAAUGAAAGUAAUUAAGGUCACAUAGCAACUCAAUCAACACCAAUUGAAGAUAUUCAGAAGUAUGGAGAAUGACCACAAAAUUAACAACACACUAUCAUGAACUGAAAAUAACAUUUACACACUAAUGACAAUAUCAUAAACGAACAUAGUCAAUAAAAAGAUAACAAUAUGUUCGUGAUACUUAAAUAAAAAAAUCAAAAGAGAAAAGUUGGAGGUGUACUGACCUUAUCUAGGGCAGCAAACCAAACUUAGAUUCUUUCUAAUUGCUUAGGAACCAAAGCUUCAAGCUUGAGCAGUUUAAGUUCUCAAAAACGAAGAGAGAAAACCAGAAAUCAGUAAAAAAACCUAAAUUUUAUGAAAUCUUAGUGUUGCUUUUUAUGUUCGUGCUAGGUCUAGUCUAUUAGGUGAGAGCAUUGAAGGCUCCUUUUAUAGUGUAAUUCAAUGCCUCUAGGGUUCAAUAAAAUUCAUAUUAGAUAAUGAAAGAUGACGAUGAGCUGAUGAUGUGAGCAAUCUUAGUGAAAUCAGAGAAGAGUAGAGGGGAAAACAACGAAGAUUUUUUACAUGAGAAGAGAGAUUGAUCAUUGAAGGUAGAGGACCAUCGGUUAAGAAUUAAAACCCAGAGGUCACUUCGUUUGACUUCUGCAUAAAUAAUCCUCAUAAUGAAUCCUCUGAAAAACUUCAUGCAUGCUCCGAUUUGAUGGAGCGAGAGAGGAUUUAAGUGAUUUGAAGUUACACCUUCAAGCUAGGGUUUCAGAUUUUAGGGGUUUUGAAUCUAAUCAAUGAAAAUGGAAAGUGAAUCACUGGCCUCAUCGCCUAGGGACAAAGCGAAUGAUUCUGCUAGUUGGAUUUGAAAGAACGAAGAUGAAAUGAGUGCUCCGAUUUUACUGGCCAUGUAUGAUGCUUCAGAUUUGAAGAGCAAAAGGGGAAGGUCAACAAGAUUCUCGGAUGAGGAAACGAGGAAGGACGAUUUGGUGAAGGGUUUUGUCACCUUGCACUGAUUUGUGUAAGGUUCCAUGACUGAUGGGGUUUGAAGGGAUGAGAUAAAAGAGAGAUCUUUAGGAAAGGGGGGCGGCUGGUUUAGGGAGAGAAUAAUUAGGGUUUGAGGUUGUCUCUAGGUUUAAAAUGGGAGAUGGAACAGGAGCAGUUGGAUCAUUGUGAUCAACUGCUCCGAUAUUACAGAGAUAAAAACAUUUAUCGAAAAAAGGCGACGGUUAGAUCUCUUUUAAUCCAAUGUCAGAGAUAAAUCACUGAUGAAAAAUUACUUUAAUUGUGAACCGCUGAUCAUUUGGAUCAACGGUCCGGAUGUAGUGUGUUUCUUGUGUGCGUGUUUGAGAGCAAUGAUGUAGCACGUUGUGAUUGGUUCAAAUAUGAUGGAAUGGAUUGCCAUAGUGGAAAGAGAGUGGUGGAUUUGGACUGGGUAUUUUCGGAUGGGGCCUAGGUCUUGGGCUGGUUUUGAUUUAAAGAAUGGUCAAUUUGUGUUUAGUAGAAAAUUACAAUUAUAGCCUUUAGCCUAUUUUGAUCCCUUUUAUAAUUAAAUUCAAUAAGCUUAAUNNNNNNNNNNNNNNNNNNNNNNNNNNNNNNNNNNNNNNNNNNNNNNNNNNNNNNNNNNNNNNNNNNNNNNNNNNNNNNNNNNNNNNNNNNNNNNNNNNNNNNNNNNNNNNNNNNNNNNNNNNNNNNNNNNNNNNNNNNNNNNNNNNNNNNNNNNNNNNNNNNNNNNNNNNNNNNNNNNNNNNNNNNNNNNNNNNNNNNNNNNNNNNNNNNNNNNNNNNNNNNNNNNNNNNNNNNNNNNNNNNNNNNNNNNNNNNNNNNNNNNNNNNNNNNNNNNNNNNNNNNNNNNNNNNNNNNNNNNNNNNNNNNNNNNNNNNNNNNNNNNNNNNNNNNNNNNNNNNNNNNNNNNNNNNNNNNNNNNNNNNNNNNNNNNNNNNNNNNNNNNNNNNNNNNNNNNNNNNNNNNNNNNNNNNNNNNNNNNNNNNNNNNNNNNNNNNNNNNNNNNNNNNNNNNNNNNNNNNNNNNNNNNNNNNNNNNNNNNNNNNNNNNNNNNNNNNNNNNNNNNNNNNNNNNNNNNNNNNNNNNNNNNNNNNNNNNNNNNNNNNNNNNNNNNNNNNNNNNNNNNNNNNNNNNNNNNNNNNNNNNNNNNNNNNNNNNNNNNNNNNNNNNNNNNNNNNNNNNNNNNNNNNNNNNNNNNNNNNNNNNNNNNNNNNNNNNNNNNNNNNNNNNNNNNNNNNNNNNNNNNNNNNNNNNNNNNNNNNNNNNNNNNNNNNNNNNNNNNNNNNNNNNNNNNNNNNNNNNNNNNNNNNNNNNNNNNNNNNNNNNNNNNNNNNNNNNNNNNNNNNNNNNNNNNNNNNNNNNNNNNNNNNNNNNNNNNNNNNNNNNNNNNNNNNNNNNNNNNNNNNNNNNNNNNNNNNNNNNNNNNNNNNNNNAUUACUAGAAAAUACUUUCAAAAUAUUUGUUGUAAAUUAUUAAGUAUAAGUAAAUUAAUUUUAAAAGGGAGGGUCAAAAUUUGUCCUCAACAGCUGCCCCUUUAUGACAUGAGGCGAUGAAAGAGUUUUCGGGCAAAGAAAUUGAACCAAACCCAAUUUUGUCCUGACUUUAGGCAUGCAUUGCAGGAGUGGAAUGAAGAUUAUGAGCUGUAGGAUUCGGUGUUAAGGAAGAUUCUAGGAGAAGUUUGGAGAGGUUGGGGCCGAAUUCUGGCUUUGAAUUUCAUACAUACCUCGGGUUUAAUGAGGAUCAAGCCUUAUGUACUUCUAGAGUGAUGAUUUUUUGUGGAAGCGAUGAUCGCAGAGAUUUCCCCAGUAUCGUAUUAUGCAGAUAUGGCGAGACGGAGGAUUGGGCACUCGUGAUAGCUUGAAUUUUACGGCUUGAUUUGAAGAAUUUGAAUAUUUUGAAUUUCACUUAUCAUUUUAUGCUUGAACUUGGAUCCUUGGCCCGCUAACGAGUUUGCUGUCCCUCAUAGAGUUGUAGUAUGAUCUGCUGCUAAGACAAAAGUUCCACGCUGCGAUGUUUGUUCCUGCAAAACAAAUGAAACACACGCAUACCAAUAUAUUGCAAUGCAGAAUAUAUUAAGAUGCGAUGUAGAUGAUGCAAGAAUAAUGAAGUCUGACUGCGGGCAAACCGUUAUUUGGGAUCGGGAUGAUGAGACUUGAUCUUGACUCUAUUUGUUAGCCGGGCUUUGUACCGUUCCGCAGCUAUUAGAGCAUUUGAAAAUUGUCUCUGCUUGUUGGGAGAGAUGGAUUUUUAGAGUGCGUCUCCACUUGUUGGAAGAGCUUUGCACUGAGAAAUAUAUCCGCUUGUUGGGAGAAUUUUAUUUGUAGAGUGCAUCUCCGCUUGUUGGGAGAGCUUUGCACUGAAAUGUAAAGUAACCUCCGCUUGAGAGUGAUUGAUUAAAACAGUAAUCAUGCUUGAAACUGCAUGAGCAAAACAUCAAAACAUUCAAUGUAAUAGCAACGAAAAUAAAAGAAUUCCCAAGAGAUACUCUUGAAUGCGAAGCUAAGUUGCGGCCAUGGAUUGGCACAACGUCGGUGAUGAAUUUUGCGACCGUCUAUUCUAGCAUCCGUUGCGACAGAGCGACAAUACGAAUUGUUCUAUUGUCGAGAUGAGCAGUUUGCUAUAUACAAGGCUUCGAUUGGUGAAGCCAAUGUUCGAUUUGUACAGGGUUCUUCGAGCGAUUGAGCUGACGGUUUACUAUAUACAGGGCUUCAAUUGGUGAAGCCAACGAAUCAUUUGUACAAGGUGCUCCGAUUAGCUGAGCAGGCAGUUUGCUAUAUACAUGGCUUCCAUUGAUGAAGUCAACAUUCUGUUUUGUAUAAGGUGCACCAAUUGUUUUAGUAGGUGGUUAUCUAUGUAGACUUUUUUCCCGUAUCAGCAGCCUGACUCCGAGGUAACUACAAAGGAUUCAAAGAUUAGCCCUAGUUGUACCAGAAAAAUUCCGGUAAAAGAGAAAAAGAGAUAAUCUUAGGCAAGUGGCGGAUCCAUCAUUUUCCCCAGUGUGGUCGUAGUGCUUCUUUUCUCUCUGUUGUCCCUACACUCAAAGAAAAAUUCUUAGUGGGGCGGGGAAGUUGGUUUGUGUCAACCACAUGCCUUUGAUAUGGUUGCGUCGCAAAGUUAGGUAGGUGGAACAAAUUACUGUAUUUUUAGAAAACAUUUUGAAAAUACUUUGUAUUUUUCAGGAAAAUGUCAUCGUUCCGGAUUAUGACAUGUUACGAAAAGUUCUCCACACACAAACUUUUCUUCUUGAAAGUUAUAUCUCGCUGAUGUCGAUCUUCUGUGAUGCUUCUGACAACGCGGUUGCUUGUCGUUGCGACUGCGUCCUAAUUCAAACUAAUGCAUUACAAAGGUUUUCCUAAGGUUGUGACCGAACCCUUUCAGGUUGCCUAAGUACCAAAACGGAAUCAGGUAUGAACGUAGUUCAUGGAUUAUGAUAAAAUAUGAUGAAAAUGGCCGAGCCUGACUCAAGAAGCCUACGUAUCCAAAUGGAAUCAGGUCAAGAGUUAGUUCGACUAUAAGAAAUGCAAAAUGAUAAGUUUAAGAAUGAAAAUGGCCGAGUCUGACUCAGACUGCCUAUGUAUCAAAAUGGAAUUAGGCCAAAAUGUAGUUCAAUUACAAAAGAUGACUAAAUUCGAUGAGGAUUGCCUACGUAUUCCUUUCUAAGAAAAUCAAGUCGGCGUAGUUCCUGAGCAACAUACAAAAAUGAUAUUUGGUUUUUCUAUUAAAAACCGAGAAGGAGGGGAGAGAAACCAAACCCUAUGUGGGUUGCCUAUGUAUCCCUCCAUAGGAAGUCAGGUUGAACGUAGUUAUAUUACAGCUAAAACCUAGCUCUAUUUUUCUUCAAACAUAGUAUCUCUGGAUUGCAUCUGAGUUGAUAGGCUUCGUGUUGAUUCUUCCAUCAAUUUCUUCCCAUAUUAGAGCUCCACCCGACAGUGCUCGAUGAACCACGUAAGGACCUUGGCAAUUUCGUGCAAACUUUCCUUUGGAUUCCUCUUGGUGGGGUAAGAUUUUCUUCAAGACUAACUACCCUAGUGGAAGCUAGUGAGGAUUCAAUCUCUUGUUAUAUGCACUAGCCAUCCUGUUAUGAUAUAGCUGAUUGUGGCAUACUGCAUCCAUUAUUUUCUCGUCGAUGAGCAUGAGUUUCUCCUGUCUGAACCGUAUCCACUCUGCGUCAUCAAAUUUUGCCUCUUGAAUGACCCUUAAAGAUGGUAUUUCGACCUCUACAGGUAUCACAACUUCAAUGUCGUAUACCAAUAUGUACGACAUUGCACUAGUGUAUGUUCUCGUGCCAUUGCAUGUGAGGGUCCACUAUCUUUCGUAGAAUCCACUUGAUAUUCUUGUUGUCUGCCUCGAUUGUCCCAUUCAUUUGUAGUCUGUAGGCUGUGAAAUUGUGGUGGACGAUUCUGAACUUCUCAUAGAUUUCUCUCAUGAGGUUGCUGUUGAGGUUAGCGGCAUUAUCAGUGAUGAUAGACUCCGGUAUUCCAAAUCUGCAGAUAACGUUGUUCCGGACGAAAUCUGCCACUACUUUCUUUAUGACGGCCUUGUAAGUAGACAUUUCAAGCUAUUUAGUGAAAAAUUCAAUAGCUACCAAGAUAAAGCGAUGCUCGUUUGAUGUGGCAGGCUCAAUAGGUCCAAUCACGUCCAUGCCCCAAACGGCGAACGGCUAGGGUGAACCUAUUACAUUUAACUCAUUUGGCGGAACCUGGAUGAAAUCCCUGUGAAUCUGGCACUGGUGACACUUCUGUACAUAGCGGAUACUAUCGCUUUCCAUAUUCAUCCAAAAGUAUCCAGCUCUCAAGGUCUUCUUAGCUAAUGUGAACCCAUUCAUGUGGGGUCCGCUCGUUCCUGCAUAUAUUUUUUCCAAUAACCUGGUUGCCUCAGUAGCAUCUACACAUCUCAACAAACCUAAAUAGGGGUCCUCCUGUACAUGACUUCCUUGUUGAUGAAAAAGUGGUUUUCUAGCCUCCCUAAGGCUCGCUUUUGACCAUUAGUAGCAUUCUCCGGGUAUUUUCUGGUUGCAAGUAAUUUUCUGAUAUCAUGAUACUACGGUUUACCAUAUGGUUCUCCAUCUAAAUGGAAGAAAUAGGCAUGUUGAUCCCUGAUCUUUACCUUGAUAGGAUCGAUGUAGUUCUUGUCUGGAUGUUGAAUCAUAGAUGAUAGGGUUGCAAGGGAGUCGGCGAACUCGUUCUAAAUCCUGGGGACGUGCUUGAACUCAAUUUUCGUGAACUUCUUGCAUAUCUCCUUCAUGCAAUGCGGGUACAGAAGUAUCUUAACAUUCUUAGUAUACCAUUCGUGAUAGCUUGAAUUUUACGGCUUGAUUUGAAGAAUUUGAAUAUUUUGAAUUUCACUUAUCGUUUUAUGCUUGAACAUGGAUCCUUGGCCCACUAACGAGUUUGCUGUCCCUCAUAGAGUUGUAGUAUGAUCUACUGCUAAGACAAAAGUUCCACGCUGCGAUAUUUGUUCCUGCAAAACAAAUGAAACACACGCAUACCAAUAUAUUGCAAUGCAGAAUAUAUUAAGAUGCGAUGUAGAUGAUGCAAGAAUAAUGAAGUCUGGCUGCUGGCAAACCGUUAUUUGGGAUCGGGAUGAUGAGACUUGAUCUUGACUCUAUUUGUUAGCCGGGCUUUGUACCGUUCCGCAGCUAUUAGAGCAUUUGAAAAUUGUCUCUGCUUGUUGGGAGAGAUGGAUUUGUAGAGUGCGUCUCCACUUGUUGGAAGAGCUUUGCACUGAGAAAUGUAUCCACUUGUUGGGAGAGUUUUAUUUGUAGAGUGCAUCUCCGCUUGUUGGGAGAGCUUUGCACUGAAAUGUAAAGUAACCUCCGCUUGAGAGUGAUUGAUUAAAACAGUAAUCAUGCUUGAAACUGCAUGAGCAAAACAUCAAAACAUUCAAAGUAAUAGCAACGAAAAUAAAAGAAUUCCCAAGAGAUACUCUUGAAUGCGAAGCUAAGUUGCGGCCAUGGAUUGGCACAACGUCGGUGAUGAAUUUUGCGACCGUCUAUUCUAGCAUCCGUUGCGAUAGAGCGACGAUACGAAUUGUUCUAUUGUCGAGAUGAGAAGUUUGCUAUAUACAAGGCUUCGAUUGGUGAAGCCAAUGUUCGAUUUGUACAGGGUUCUUCGAGCGAUUGAGCUGACAGUUUACUAUAUACAGGGCUUCAAUUGGUGAAGCCAACGAAACAUUUGUACAAGGUGCUCCGAUUAGCUGAGCAGGCAGUUUGCUAUAUACAUGGCUUCUAUUGAUGAAGUCAACAUUCCGUUUUGUAUAAGGUGCACCAAUUGUUUUAGUAGGUGGUUAUCUAUGUAGACUUUUUUCCCGUAUCAGCAGCCUGACUCCGAGGUAACUACAAAGGAUUCAAAGAUUAGCCCUAGUUGUACCAGAAAAAUUCCGGUAAAAGAGAAAAAGAGAUAAUCUUAGGCAAGUGGCGGAUCCGUCAUUUUCCCCAGUGUGGUCGUAGUGCUUCUUUGCUCCCUGUUGUCCCUACACUCAAAGAAAAAUUCUUAGUGGGGCGGGGAAGUUGGUUUGUGUCAACCACAGGCCUUUGAUAUGGUUGCGUCGCAAAGUUAGGUAGGUGGAACAAAUUACUGUAUUUUUAGAAAACAUUUUGAAAAUACUUUGUAAUUUUCAGGAAAAUGUCGUCGUUCCGGAUUAUGACAUGUUACGAAAAGUUCUCCACACACGAACUUUUCUUCUUGAAAGUUAUAUCUCGCUGAUGUCGAUCUUCCGUGAUGCUUCUGACAACGCGGUUGCUUGUCGUUGCGACUGCGUCCUAAUUCAAAGUAAUGCAUUACAAAGGUUUUCUUAAGGUUGUGACCGAACCCUUUCAGGUUGCAUAAGUACCCAAAACGGAAUCAGGUAUGAACGUAGUUCAUGGAUUAUGAUAAAAUAUGAUAAAGAUGACCGAGCCUGACUCAAGAAGCCUACGUAUCCAAAUGGAAUCAGGUCAAGAGUUAGUUCGACUAUAAGAAAUGCAAAAUGAUAAGUUUACGAAUGAAAAUGGCCGAGUUUGACUCAGACUGCCUAUGUAUCCAAAUAGAAUUAGGCCAAAAUGUAGUUUAAUUACAAAAGAUGACUAAAUUCGAUGAGGAUUGCCUACGUAUUCCUUUCUAAGAAAAUCAAGUCGGCGUAGUUCCUGAGCAACAUACAAAAGUGAUAUUUGGUUUUUCUAUUAAAAAACGAGAAGGAGGGGAGAGAAACCAAACCCUAUGUGGGUUGCCUACGUAUCCCUCCAUAGGAAGUCAGGUUGAACGUAGUUAUAUUACAGCUAAAAUCUAGCUCUAUUUUUCUUCAAACAUAGUAUCUCUGGAUUGUAUCUGAGUUGAUAGGCUUCGUGUUGAUUCUUCCAUCAAUUUCUGCCCAUAUUAGAGCUCCACCCGACAGCGCUCGAUGAACCACGUAAGGACCUUGGCAAUUUCGUGCAAACUUUCCUUUGGAUUCCUCUUAGUGGCGAAAGAUUUUCUUCAAGACUAACUGCCCUGGUGCAAGCUAGUGAGGAUUCAAUCUCUUGUUAUAUGCACUAGCCAUCCUGUUAUGAUAUAGCUGAUUGUGGCAUACUGCAUCCAUUAUUUUCUCGUCGAUGAGCAUGAGUUGCUCCUGUCUGACCCGUAUCCACCCUGCGUCGUCAAAUUUUGCCUCUUGAAUGACCCUUAAAGAUGGUAUUUCGACCUCUACGGGUGUCACAACUUCAGUUUCGUAUACCAAUAUGUACGACAUUGCACUAAUGUAUGUUCUCGUGACAUUGCAUGUGAUUGUCCACUAUCUUUCAUAGAAUCCACUUGAUAUUCUUGUUGUCUGCCUCGACAGUCCCAUCCAUUUGUAGUCUGUAGGCUGUGGAAUUGUGGUGGAAGAUUCUGAACUUCUCAUAGAUUUCUCUCAUGAGGUCGUUGUUGAGGUUAGCGGCAUUAUCAGUGACGAUAGACUCCGGUAUUCCAAAUCUGCAGAUGACGUUGUUCCGGAUGAAAUCUGCCACUACUUUCUUUAUGACGGCCUUGUAAGUAGACAUUUCAAGCUAUUUAGUGAAAUAUUCAAUAGCUACCAAGAUAAAGCGAUGCUCGUUUGAUGUGGCAGGCUCAAUAGGUCCAAUCACGUCCAUGCCCCAAACGGCGAACGGCUAGGGUAAACCCAUUACAUUUAAUUCAUUUGGCGGAACCUGGAUGAAAUCCCUGUGAAUCUGGCACUGGUGACACUUCUGUACAUAGCAGAUACUAUCGCUUUCCAUAUUCAUCCAAAAGUAUCCAGCUCUCAAGGUCUUCUUGGCUAAGGUGAACCCAUUCAUGUGGGGUCCGCACGUUCCUGCAUAUAUUUUUUCCAAUAACCUGGUUGCCUCAGUAGUAUCUUAACAAACCUAAAUAUGGGGUCCUCCUGUACAUGACUUCCUUGUUGAUGAAAAAGUGGUUUUCUAGCCUCCCUAGGGCUCGCUUUUGACCAUUAGUAGCAUUCUCCGGGUAUUUUCUGGUUGCAAGUAAUUUUCUGAUAUCAUGAUACUACGGUUUACCAUAUGGUUCUCCAUCUAAAUGGUAGCAAUAGGCAUGUUGAUCCCUGAUCUUUACCUUGAUAGGGUCGAUGUAGUUCUUGUCUGGAUGUUGAAUCAUAGAUGAUAGGGUUGCAAGGGAGUCGGCGAACUCGUUCUAAAUCCUAGGGAUGUGCUUGAACUCAAUCUUCGUGAACUUCUUGCAUAUCUCAUUCAUGCAAUGCGGGUAUAGAAGUAUCUUGACAUUCUUAGUAUACCAUUCUUUUUGGACUUGGUGUAUUAAUAGAUCGGAAUCCCCUAUCACCAAAAAUUUCUUUGAUGUAUGUCCACUACCAUUUUGAUCCCAAGGAUGCACGCUUUGUAUUCAACCAUAUUAUUGGUUCAAGUGAAUCUAAUCUUUGCCGAUGCUAGAUAGUGCUGUCUAGAUUACGAAAUAAGGACUGCCCAAAUUUCGACUCCUUUAAAGUUUGCUACUUCAUCGAAAAACAUUCUCCAUCCAGGAUACAAUUCUGCAAUAUCUUCUCCAUCAAAUAAUACUUCUUCAUCGGGAAAAUACAUAGUAAGUGUCUCAUAAUCCCCAUCCACUGAAAUUUCUACGAGGUAGUUGGCUAAUUCUUGCCCUUUGAUAGCCUUCUAAGUUAUGUACACAAUGUCAAAUUCGCUGAGCAGAAUUUUCUAUUUAGCUAGCUUUAUGGUAGGCAUCGGCUUUUGGAAAAUGUACUUGAGCGGGUCGAAAAAUUUCCUAAAAUCGUCCAAGUGAUCUGAACUCUUUCGAGACUUUAUGAUGACAUCAUCCACAUACACUUCAAUCUCCUUAUGAAUCAUGUCGUGGAAAGGGGUCAUCAUGGCCCUCAUGUAGGUGGCGCCAGUGUUCUUGAGACCGAACGACAUAACUCUAUAGCAGUAGAUUCACCAAGGUGUGGUGAAGGUUGUUUUCUCGGCAUUUUCCUCGUGCAUUAAGUUUUGGUGGUACCGAGCGAAACAAUCCACAAACGAAUGCAGUUCAUGCUUCGCAUAGUUGCCAAUGAGGAUGUGGAUAUAUGGUAGAGGGAAAUCGUCCCCUGGACUAGCUUUGUUGAGAUCUCGGUAAUCCACGCAUAUUCUGAUCUUUUCAUCUUUCUUGGGUACUGGUACGAUAUUUGCCAACCAUUUGGGAUAAUUGGUGACCCUUACCACAUUCGCAUGUAUCUGCUUGGUCACUUCUUCCUUUAUCCUCAGACUUAAAUCAGAUUUGAACAUUCAAGGUUUCUGUAUGACUAGUUGUCUGGUAGGAUAGGUGGGCAAUCGAUGUGAGACAAUGUCAGUUCUUAAUCCUGGCAGGUCAUCAUAUGACCAUGCAAACAAAUCGAUGUACUGUCGGAGGAGCUCAACCAAUUUUUCCUUCUGCUCGGCUUCUAGAUGAAUGUUGAUUCUGGUUUCUUUUACGUCAUAUUCACCUCCAAGAUUGACCACUUCUGUUUCUUUGAGGUUGGGAUUUUUUUGACUCUCCAACUGUUCGAUCUCUUAUGGGAGAUUGACUGGCAUCAUACUCUCAUCAUACUCCUCGUAAUCUGGGUCGUUGCGCUCGACAAUUUUGUUACAUGUCACAAUCACGAAAAGCGAGUUUCUAGCAUUUUGAUUACUAAAAAGAAAAGCCAAUUAUAAAGGAAGUGGUAAAUAAAGAUGCAAUGUUUGAGAAAAUGAUUCUUUUUAUUUCAUCAAAAGAGGCAAAUGAUAAAAAGGUACAGACAUGGUGUAGGCCUCAAUUGACCGUGCGCUAUUCAAAAGAAAUUGUUUACAGUUCCAUACUACAAGACUCCCAGUGAAACAAAUAUGGACCGGCGGUCCAAUUCCGUUACUCUUCCUCUGGUUUGGUAUCCCUUAUAGUCGGUAUCGUUAUGUUAGUACCUUUAUAACAUUAUUCAAUCAUAUUGACGAACAACAUUCUCAUCCCGUCGAUGAUAUCAUCUUCAGGUAAUGAACCCUGACUCGGACUUGAAACAUGCUCUAGCACAAAAACCUUUCUCCCGAAGCUACCGGUAUGCGAUUUCCCCUCUGGAGGCUGAUAUCCUAUGGCGGCUCUUCCUUUCUUCCUGUUAGGUUUAAUUGGCUCUGUGAUCCCGUCCGACCUAGCUCCCUGCUAUGUUCUGGCUUGUAUAAUAUUUCAUCAUCUCCCUCAUAGCCAUCUUGGAUCUAUACGGUGACUGCAUUCCCAUGUUUUGUUUAGUCUCUUCCAUUUCGGCAAUCUUCAUGAUUUCCACCGCAUAGAAAGAAACUCCGUCUAGCCCUUUUGUAAGGCCCCAUAAAAUGUUUCCUAAAACUCGGGGUUCCGUGAUGCGGGGGUAGGCGUAGAGGUUAAUAAUAGUAGAAAUUCUUCGGACAUUUUGGAUUGAACAGUGUGCUGGGAGUUGAAGGAAAAUAUUUGGCAGAAAUAGGCAUUUAUGAGGCCCAUUAUGCGGCCGCAUAAUCACUCUGUGGGCCGGUUGAGACCAUUGAGGUUAAUGAAGAAUUGUCAUAUGAAGCAAUUCCAGUUUCCAUUCUUGAUAGGCAAGUCCGAAAGUUGAGGAAUAAAGAAAUUGCCUCCGUGAUGGUGUUGGGGCAAAACCAACAGGUUGAAGAGGCUACUUGGGAGGACGAGGAAGAGAUGAAAAAAAAGUAUCCUUACUUGUUUGUAUAAACUAUGUGACCUUGUUAUAAAACUGUCGCCUUUGGAUUCUUGUAUCACUUGUUCAGUUAAUGUAAAGGUACUUCUUUCUAAAUAUAUUGUAUGUGAGGCCAUGGUUGGUGUUGUUAUGAGUUAUGUUACGUCAUUGGUUUAUGUAUAUGUUGUAAGGAUAUGUUUCUGGGGCUCUCUGACAUGUGUAUAGGCCCAGCUACAGGGCAAACUCUGGCAAAAUAUUUGGGAGCUUAGGGAGUUAGUCAAAUUUGGGACUGCUGGUGUGUGGUAUGAAAACUGAGUUGCAUAGGAUGCUAAUAGCUAACCUUGAUCCUCAUUCGAGGAUGAAUGCUCUUAAGUGGGGGGGGGGGGAUAUAAGGCCCCGUAAAAUGUUUCCUAUAAACCGGGGUUUCGUGAUGCCGGGGUAGGUGUAGAGGUUAAUAAUAGUAGAAAUACUUCGGACUUUUUGGAUUGAAUAGUGCGCUGGGAGUUGAAGAAAAUAUUUGGUAGAAAUAGGCAUUUUUGCGGCCCAUUUUGCGGCCGCAUAAUCACUCUGCAGGCCGUAGAAUAGUCGCAGAGUGAAGCAGCUACUUCAGCCAUUUUUUAUGUCAAUUUCGCGGCCAGUUAUGUGACCGCACAACCAUUUCGCGGGCCAAAAUUUUAUCGCACAAUCAGACUUGGAGUUUUUGCGGAGGGAGGUUCUACGGCGCAUUAUGCAAACGCAGAAUAGACCUGCGAACCGCAGACCCAGGCAGUAUGUUUUCCAGGUUUUGGCACCAAAUUGUGCGGCCGAUAUGCAGACCGCAUAUCCAUUCUGCGGUUGCAUAUGCGAUCGUAUAUCCUUCUCUAGGGCUUCAUUUUUGGGUUUUUAUAACCCGAGCCUACAUCGAUAAAACAUAUGCCAUAGUCCAUUUUUAGCAUAUUUCUGAUAUUUUUAGAGUGGGAAAGAGUUCUUAGAGUGGGGAAGUAACCUUCAACCAAAUAUCCAACAAUGCUUGUUCAAUCCUUGAAGAUUAUCAAGAAAGUCCUCAUCUUAAAGGUAAGAAUCUACGCCCUAGCUCUUAAUUUCAAAAAUCUACUAAAAAGGGGAUAAUUAGAAAGACAAUUAUUAGGUGUAGGGGUUGUUAUCUUGCAUGCAUUGUUCUUGAAGUAUGUGGGAAAGUUGUGAGUUAAAAAUGGUAGAGAAUGGGUUGGGGAAUGAUGGAAUCUUUCACCAAAGGGGCUUAAAACAUUAAUGCACACCUAAUGUUUGAUAAUGUGCUCAAAUGAGCGAGAAUCAUGACCAUCUUCCAAAUUUUGGCCCAACUUGUUAUAUUUAUAAAAUAGAUCGAAGUUCUAAGAGUUCCAGAAUGUUUUAAAGUUUAAAGGAAGCUCAAUUGAGGUAUGUUGACUAAAUUUGCUCCUUCUUAGAAUCAAAUCCCACAGUGUUCAUGUAAUUGGUGUAUGUUCGAAAUUGAUUAUUAUAGAAUUGGCUAUUCCUAAUCUGUUUAUGUUGAAGGAUGUAUGUUCAAUAUUUAUUCUAAAUGCUUCAUCAUGUCAUCUUGCCAUUUGAGGAUACGUUCAAAAUGUGGAAUAUGUGUUAGAAAUGUUAAGACUUUAUGUCAAGAUCGAAUAAAGGUUGUUAUGCCAAAUUGUAUGAAAUUGCUAUUAUGUGUACUAACUCCUUAAAUGGUAGGCCUUAUUGUUGUUGCUGAUGAUAAUGAUGUUUGAAUGUGGAAAGGGGAAACUGGAAUUAUGAAAUAUGGCCAAGUUCCAAGAAUGACUUUCUAAUUGAGACCACCCAUGACAAUGAAUUGAAACGAUGUGAAAGAAGUAUGAAGUGAGAUGAUUGAUUGAAAAUGUAAUGUAUCGGGUGAGACUGCCUAGCUGAUCGGACGCCAUGCCGCACAUAUAGUGGUGACUGUGUUGGCAAUGAUAAUUGAAAUUGUGGUUAUGGUUGAUGUCUCAAAGAAGACGACCUAGUUGAUCGGGUCGUGAUCGAACUCCGUGUAAGAAUACAGUGGUAUUGUGAAUUAUGGUAUAUCGGCUCUAAAGAUCACCCAACCUAAUAACAUGGAAAAUGACUUGAGAAGUUAUGUGAUCCUUACUUGAUGUUUUAGUAUUGUUUGAAGCUCUUAUUUAACUCAUGACUAUUUCUCCCUUGUAUUAUUAUUCAUUCUAUUGGGAUGGUGUUUAGUUUUACAUACUAGUACUAUUCGACAGUACUAACGUCCCUUUUGCCGGGGCGCUGCAUCUUUAAAUAGAUGCAGGUGAUUCGAUAACAGGUAGUAUUGAUCAGUGAUAGUGGUACAUCCUCUUCCCAAUAGACUUGGUGAUCCCCACUUCACCCCGAGGUCAUGUAUUUUAUCUUUUGUUCAUAUUAUUAUCAUGUUUUGAGGUAUAGCCGGGGCCUUAUUGCCGGCACUGUCAUAACACUCUUUUGUAUCUUUUAGAGGCUCUGUAGACACUAUGUGGGUUGUACAUNNNNNNNNNNNNNNNNNNNNNNNNNAGCCGGGGCCUUGUUGUCGGCACCAUCAUAACACUCUUUUGUAUCUCUUAGAGGCUCCGUAGACACUAUGUGGGUUGUACAUGGGUGCUAGAAAAGUCAAACAGAUUAUGUUGUGUUUUGAUCUCUUGUUCCACUCGAAUCAUAAGAAUGUGUGUAUCUUGAAACUUAAAAAUGAUGUAACCAAUGAGACAAUUUUGCAUUGUAUAUAUGAUCUUCCUAAUGUCUAAUUAAAAAAUAUCACUUCUUCUCUUGAUCAUGGUUGAGUUGGGUAGAAAGUAGCUAACAUGCUUGCUCGAUCGGGUUCAUUCGGUUGAGCACCGGUCGCGCUUCCCGAGAUUGGGGCAUGACAAACAUGGUAUUAGAGCCUAAGGUUUUAAAGUGUCCUAGGAUGUCUCAGAGUUGUAUAUAGUAGAGUCCUCCUUAUCGGUGUGUUGUCGACCACAUCUAUAAGUUGGAGGCUACUUGGACAUUUAGGAAUAAUACCCUUCUUUCAUGUUCUUGAUCGUGCGAUAAAGAUGAUUAUAAGAUUGUUCCUCCUUUAACUCGUGCUUUGCUAUAACUUUCAGUACAUAGCACCUAAGAAGAGAGCAAGAACUGGCCAAGGAUCCAAUGCCGCCCCAGGAGUGAAAGUUGACCCUUUAUUUGAUGAUGCAGGUGAAUACCCGAGGGGUGAGGAUAAUCCCCCGACUUCUACAUUGCCUGAUUCCACUACACCUGACCAGGCCACACCAGUUCCUGCACCUACUGAGGGUGCAACGGUUCCUCCACCUGAUAUUUCGGUUGCACCUCCAGCACCAUCUUUCGGUUCUGGUAUUUUUGAUAGGGAUCUUAGGGGAGCUAUCCAGAUGCUGACACAUAUAGUGGCUUCUCAAGCUCAGAGAUCAAAUGUUGUACCUACUUCUUCUAUCCAACAAGGGGAUUCUAGUAGUUCCAGGGUAAACAAGUUUCUUUAGUUGGAUCCUCCGGUGUUCACGGGUGCUAAUCUAGAAGAGGACCCACAAGACUUUAUUGACGAGAUGCAUAAGACUCUCUGGGUUAUGCGCGCUACUCAGAAAGAGGGAGUGGAGUUGGCCACCUACCGCCUGAAAGGGGUGGCCUAUUCUUGGUUUGAGGUAUGGGAGGACUCUCGGGAGGAGGGGAGCCCUCCAGCGAGGUGGAGUGAGUUUACUGAUGCUUUCAUGGACCAUUUCUUGCCUGCCAAGACUAGGGCAGCCCGUGCCGCAGAGUUUGAGAACCUUAAUCAAGGUAGUAAGAGUGUGUGGGAGUAUCGCAUGGAGUUUGCGCGUCUGUCUAGAUAUGCCAUUCUCGCGUUGCCUAUUAUGGAGGCUAGAGUGCGCUGGUAUGUGAAGGGCCUUAGCCCCGUGGUUAUCAAUGAGGCCGCUACAACUGCCUUGAAUUCAGAUAUGAACUAUGGGAAGAUGAUAGCAUUUUCUCAAGCUACAGAGAACCAUAAGUUGAAUAACAUAAUGGAGCGAGAGGGUAUCAGCAAGGCCCGGUCCGCGGGCAACUUUGACGAGCCAUUAAGUGGGGGAAGAUAAACUUUUAGAGGAGGGUCAUUAGGGCCAUCCCAGUCUUUUUCUCAGUCUUCGGCAAGUGCAUUGCCAGCAGGGCCCAGUCAGCAGCAAGGGAGCCAUUUCAAGCCGAAUCAGGGCAGUAGGGGACCCCAUUAGCAGGGCCGAUCAAGAGGGAGAUUCCAGCAGCAGCGGAGGCCCCCAUGCCCUAGGUGUGGGAAGAUGCACUUGGGGAUAUGUUACAUGGACCUACCUUUAUGUUACAGGUGCAGAUUGAUGGGUCAUAUUUAGAUGGAGUGUCAUUCAUCCCGCCAGGGUGCGGGCAAGGGAAUAACACAACCAUCCUGUCCUACAGCUGCUACAUAUUUAGCACCCCCUCCAGCUCGAGGCACUCCAGCACCUGCAAGGCGUGGUGCAUCUAGGGGUGGUGCGCAAAGUUCGGGAGGACCCAGGCGUUUCUAUGCUAUGAGUGGUCGCCAGAGUGUAAAGGCUUCUUAAGAUGUUUUCACAGGUAUAUUGACUAUCCAAUCUCAUGAUCUAUAUGCUCUUAUUGAUCCCUGUUCCACCUUGUCCUAUGUUACCCCUUAUGUUGCUAUGGAAUUUCGGAUAAAACCAGAACAACUUCCUGAGCUAUUCUUUGUAUCUACUCCGGUUGGCGAGUUUAUUGUGGCCGCAUGGGUUUAUAGGAGUUGUGUUGUCACGGUGUGUGGUCGGGACACCGUGGUCGAUCUCAUUGAAUUGGGGAUGGUCGAUUUUGAUAUAAUUAUGGGAAUGGAUUGGCUUUAUACAUGUUUUGCCAAGUUCGAUUGCCAAACUAGAACUGUGAGGUUUGAAUUUCCAAAUGAGCCAGUUGUUGAGUGGAGGGGGGAUAAUGUGAUGCCAAAAGGUAGGUUUAUUUCUUACCUUAAGGCCACAAAGAUGAUUAAUAAGGGGUGUAUAUAUCAUUUGGUCCCGGUUACGAACAUCGAUGUUGAGGUGCCUACACUCGAGUCUGUGCCAGUUGUGAAUGAAUUUCCAUAGGUAUUUUUUGAUUAGCUCCCUGGGAUACUGCCAGACAUGGAGAUUGAUUUUGGGGUUGAUGUGAUGCCAUGCACGCAGCCUAUCUCUAUUCCGCCCUACAGGAGGGCACCAGCAGAAUUGAAGGAGCUAAAGGAACAAUUGAAGGAUUUGUUAGAGAAGGGUUUCAUCCGACCGAGUGUGUCACCAUAGCGCGCACCAGUUCUCUUUGUGAGGAAGAAAAAUGGAUCACUGAGGAUGUGUAUUGAUUACCGGUAGCCCAACAAAGUCAUAAUCAAAAACAAACUGAUUUGUUUGAUUAGUUACAGGGCACUAGGUACAACAAUAACAACAACCCAGUAUAAUCCCACUAGUGGGGUCUGGGGAGGGUAGUGUGUACGCAGACCUUACCUCAACCCUGGGGUAGAAAUACUAUUUCCAAUAGACCCUCAGCUCCCUCCCUCCAUGAACUCCCACCUUGCUCUUGGGGUGACUCGAACUCACAACCACUUGGUUGGAAGUGGAGGGUGCUCAGCACUAGAGCAACCCACUCUUGUUACAGGGCCUUAGGUACUUCUCCAAAAUUGAUUUACUGUCUGGGUACCACCAAUUAAAGAUCAGGGAGUAGGAUAUCCCGAAAAUAACUUUCAGGACCUACUAUGGGCACUUUGAAUUUUUGGUAAUGUCUUUUGGGCUAACAAAUGCCCCGACAGCUUUCAUGGAUCUUAUGAAUCGGGUUUUCAAGCCUAUCCUCGACUUAUUUGUGAUAGUGUUCAUUGAUGAUAUUUUUUUGUAUUUAUGAGGUCAAGAGGACCAUGCCGAUCAUCUCAGGGCAGUGUUGCAGACUCUUCAUCAGCACCAAUUAUAUGCAAAAUUUUCAAAAUGUAAAUUUUGGCUCGAAUCUGUCACAUUCUUGGGUCACGUUGUCUCUAGAGAAGGAAUUAAGGUUGACCCUCGAAAGAUUGCAUUGGUGAAGAAUUGGCCUAGACCUACGAUGCCAACCAAGAUUCGCAGUAUCUUGCGCUUAGCAUGGUAUUACAGGAAGUUUGUGGAGGAGUUCUCUACUCUUGCCUCUCCGUUGACUAAAUUGACUCGGAAAGUGGUUAAGUUCCAAUGGUCCGAUGCUUGUGAAAGGAGCUUCCAAGAGUUGAAAUCAAGAUUGACUACGGUGCCGGUGUUGACCCUGCCAGAGGGUACAAAUAGGUUUAUGGUAUAUUGUGAUGCUUCAAUGAUCGGGCUUGGGUGUGUACUAAUGCAACACGACAAGGUUAUAGCUUAUGCUUCUAGGCAACUCAAGAAUCAUGAAAAGAACUAUCCAACAUAUCACUUAGAACUUGCGACGAUGGUUUUUGCAUUGAAGAUUCAGCGUCAUUAUUUGUAUGGGGUCCAUGUGGAUGUAUUCACGGACCACAAGAGUCUUAAAUAUAUUUUCAAACAAAAGGAGUUGAAUCUGAGGCAAAGAAGAUGGCUUGAGUUACUCGAGGAUUACGAAAUCGAUAUUCUAUAUCAUCAGGGGAAAGACAAUAUUGUGGCAAAUGCUCUUAGCUAGAAAUCUAUGGGUAGUUUGGAUCACUUGGAGGCAUGUCAAAGGCCGUUGGCCACGGAGGUUCACCAAUUAGCUAGUUUGGGAGUUCGUCUUGCGGUCUCCAAUAAAGUAAUUGUGCAAAAUAGGGCUGAAUCUUUGCUUGUUGUAGAAGUCAAAGAGAAGCAAUACGACGAUCCAUUGUUGGUGCAAUUGAAGGAGGUGAUUCAUAAACAUAAAACUAUGGCUUUUACUCUUGGGAUGAAUGAUAGUACACUAAGGUACCAAGGGCGACUAUGUGUUCAAAAUAUAGAUGGUCUCCAGGAAAGAAUCACGACUGAGGCUCACACUUCUAGGUAUUCUGUACACCUAGGCUCUACAAAGAUGUAUCACGAUCUCAAGGAAGUCUAUUGGUGGAAUGACAUUAAAAGAAAUGUGGCGGACUUUGUGGCAAGGUGUCCGAAUUGUCAGCAAGUAAAGGCCGAACACCAACGGCCUGGUGGGUUGGCACAGAAUAUAGAAAUUCCAAUGUGGAAUCGGGAAAUGAUUAAUAUGGAUUUUUGUGGUAAGAUUACCAUGCACUCCGCACAAGUUUGACUCAAUUUGGGUGAUUGUGGAUCGUCUCACUAAAUAAGCACACUUCUUGCCAGUUAAAUCUACCGACACAGCGAAAUAAUAUACUCAGUUGUAUAUCAAGGAAAUAGUCAGGCUACAUGGCACUCCAGUUUCUAUCAUUUCCGAUCGAGGGACUCAUUUCACGGCCAAUAUUUGGAAGACAUUUCUGCAAGGUUUGGGUACUCAGGUGAAUCUUAGUACAGCCUUCCAUCCACAGACCGACGGGCAAGCAGAGCGGACUAUUCAAACGCUUGAGGACAUGUUGCGUGUUUGUGUUCUCGACUUCAAGGGUAACUGGGAUGAUCAUUUGCCCCUCAUAGAAUUUGCUUACAACAACUUUCAUGCUAGUAUUCAGAUGACACCAUUUUAGGCGUUAUAUUGUAUAAGAUGUAGAUCUCUCAUUGGGUGGUUUGAGAUUGGGAAAGCUUAGUUGAUAGGACCAUACCUCGUGUAUCAGGCUCUGGAAAAGGUUAAAAUCAUUAAGGAGCGGUUGAAACCUACUCAGAGUCGUCAAAAAUCCUAUUCGGAUGUUCGUCGCAGAGACUUAGAGUUCGAAGAAUAUGAUUGGGUAUUCUUGAACGUUUCCCCUAUAAAGGGUAUAAUGUGGUUUGGAAGGAAAGGGAAAUUGAGUCUGAGGUAUGUCGGGUCGUACAAAAUCAUUCAAAGGAUUAGUCAGGUGGCGUAUAAGCUUGAGCUACUACCCGAGAUGUAAUUAGUGCACCCGAUAUUCCAUGUGUCUAUGUUGAAGAAGGUAGUUGGAGAUCCGUCAGCUAUCGUGCCGGUUAAGACCAUUGAGGUUAAUGAAGAACUGUCAUAUGAAGAAAUUUCAGUUGCCAUUCAUGAUAGGCAAGUCCGAAAGUUGAGUAAUAAAGAAAUUGCCUCCAUGAAGGUGUUGGGACGAAACCAGCAGGUUGAAGAGGCUACUUCAGAGGCCAAGAAAGAGAUGAAAAAGAAGUAUCCUUACUUGUUUGUAUAAACUAUCUGACCUUGUUAUAAAACUGUUGCCUAUGGAUUCUUGUAUCAGUUGUUCAUUUAAUGUAAAGGUACUUCUUUCUAAAUAUAUUGUAUAUGAGUCCACAAUUGGUGUUGUUAUGAGUUAUGUUACGUCAUUGGCUUAUGUAUAUGUUGUAAAGAUGUAUUUCUGGGGCUCUCUGAUAGGUGGAUAGGCCAAGCUACAGGGGAAACUCUAGCGAAGUUUUUGGGCAUUUACGGAGUUAGUCAAAUUUGGGGCUGCUGGUAUGUGGUAUGAAAACUGAGUUGCAUAGAAUGCUAAUAGUUAACCUUGAUCCUCAUUCGAGGAUGAAUGAUCUAAAGUUGGGGAGGAUGUAAGGCCUCGUAAAUAGUUUCUCAAAAAUCGGGGUUCCGUGAUGCCGGGGUAGGCGUAGAGGAUACUAAUAGUAGAAAUGCUUCGGACUUUUUGGACUGAACAGUGUGCUGGGAGUCGAAGGAAAAUAUUUGGUAGAAAUCGUCAUUUCUGCGGCCCAUUAUGCGGCCGCAUAAUCACUCUACGAGCCGCAGAAUGGCCGCAGAGUGAAGCAGCUACUUGGACCAUUUUUUAUGUCAAUUUCGCGGCCAGUUGUGCGACCGCACAACCAUUUUGCGGGCCGCACUUUUGUCUCACAAUUAGCCUUGGAGUUUUUUCCGAGGGAGGUUCUGCGGCGCAUUAUGCUACCGCAUAACAGGUCUGCGGGUCGCAUAGUGACCCCAGACCCAGGCAGUUGUUUAUCCAGCUUAUGGUACCAAAUUGUGCGGCCGAUAUGCAUACUGUAUAUCCAUUCUACGUUUGCAUAUGUGACCGUAUAUCCUGUUCCCGGGCUUUAUUUUUGGGUUUUUAUAACCCGACCCUACUUCGAUAAAACAUAUGCCAUAGUUCAUUUUUGAGCAUAUAUCUGCUAUUUUUAGAGUGGGAAAGGUUUCUUAGAGUGGGGAAGUAACCUUCAACCUAAUAUCCAACAAUUCUUGCUCAAUCCUUGAAGAUUAUCAAGAAAGUCCUCAUCUUAAAGGUAAGAAUCUAUGCCCUAGCUUUUAAUUUUGAAAAUGUACUAAAAAGAAGAUAAUUAGAAAUACAAUUAUUGGGUGUGGGGGUUGUUAUCUUGCAUGCAUUAUUCUUGAAGUAUGUGGGAAGGUUGUGAGUUAAACAAAAGGGCCUUAAAAACAUUAAUGCACACCUAGUGUUUGAUAAUGUGCUCAAUUGAGCUAGAAUCAUGACCAUCUUCCGAAUUUUGGUCCAACUUGUUAUAUUUCUAAAAUAGAUCGAAGUGCUAAGAAUUCCAGAACAUUUUAAAGUUUAAAGGAAGCCCAAUUGAGGUAUGUUGGCUAACCCUUCCCCCCCCCCCCCACUUCUUAGAAUCGAAUCCCACGGUGUUCAUGUAAUUGGUGUAAGUCCCAAAUUGAUUAUUAUAGAAUUGGCUAUUCCUAAUGUGUUUGUCUUGAAGGAUGUAUGUUCAAUAUUUAUUCUAAAUGCUUCAUCAUGUCAUCUUGCCAUUUGAGGAUGUGUUGAAAAUAUGGAAUAUGUGUUAGAAAUGUUAAGACUUCAUGUCAAGAUCGAAUAAAGGUUGUUAUGCCAAAUUGUAUGAAAAGCCUCUAUGUGCUUAGGAUUCCCAAAUUGCUCUUAUGUGUACUAAUGCCUUAAAUUGUAGGCCUUAUUGUUGUAGAUGGUGAUAAUGAUAUUUGAAUAUGGAAAGGGGAAACUGAAAUUAUGAAAUACGGCCAAGUGCCAAGAAUGACUUUCUUAUUGAGGCCACAUGUGCCAAUGAAUUGAAAAGAUGUGAAAGAAGUGUGAAGUGAGAUGAUUGACUGAAAAGGUAAUGUCUUGGGUGAGACGGCCUAGCCGAUCGGGCCGUGAUCGGACGCCAUGCCGCACACGUAGUGGUGACUAUGCUGGAAAUGAUAAUUGAAAUUGUGGUUAUGGUUGAUGUCUCAAAUGAGAUGACCUAGACGAUCAAGUCGUGAUAGGACGUCGUGUAAGAAUACGGUAGUAUUGUGAAUUAUGGUAUAUCAGCACUAAAGAUCACCCAACCUAAUAACAUGGAAAUUGACUUGAGAACAUAUGUGAUCCUUACUUGAUGUUUUAGUAUUGUUUGAAGCUCUUAUUGAACUCAUGACUAUUUCCCCCUUGUAUUACUAUUCAUUCUAUUGGGAUGGUGUUUAGUUUUACAUACUAGUACUACUCGAUAGUACUAAUGUCCCUUUUGUGGGGGGCGCUGCAUCUUUAAAUGGAUACAGGUGGUUCCAUAGCAGGUAGUGUUGAUCAGCGAUAAUGGUACAUCCUCUUCUCAACAGACAUGGUGAGCCCUACUUCGUCCCGGGGUCAUGUAUUGUUUCAUCUGUUCAUAUUAUUAUCAUGUUUUGAAGUAUAGCCGGGGCCUUGUUGCUGGCACUAUCAUAACACUCUUUUGUAUCUUUUAGAGGCUCUGUAGACACAAUGUGGGUUGUACAUGGGUGUUAGAAAAGUUAAACAGAUUAUAUUGUGUUUUGACCUCUUGUUCCACUUGAAUGACAAGAAUAUGUGUAUCUUGAAACUUAAAAAUGAUCUAACCAAUGAGACGAUUUAGCAUUGUAUACAUGGUCAUGGGUGAGUUGGGUAAAAAGUAUCUAACAUGCUUGCUCGACCUGGUUCAUUCGGUUGAGCGCCGGUCGCGCUUCCCUAGGUUGGGGCUUUACACCUUCAAUGAAUUGAAAUAAGCGGAGUGACCCCACUCACCGUGGACCACGAUCUCCUGACAUCCUCACUCAAAUUUAAUGCAUUGGUGUAAUGUGGAUAGGAUGACCUCUACCAUGUGUAUCUUUUGCCUUCGAGCAGCAUGUUGUAGGAACAAUAGAUUUCCAUUACUUGAAACAAUAUGGGAAAUUUGACCGAUUCGAUCCACAAGGACAAAUAAAUUUCUCCAAUAACAUCAUUUUUUGAACCGUCAAAGGCCACUCCCUCACGUGGCUUUCCUUGACUUCCCUCAAAUGAAUUCCCAACUCUCGCAGGGUGGAGAGCGGACAAAUGUUGACUCUUGACCCUCCAUCGACCAAUACUUGGGACACCACUUUGUCCCCACAUUUGACAAUGAUAUGAAGAGCUUUGUUGUGACUUGUGCCUUCGACCAGAAGUUUGUCUCUUUUGAAAGUGAUUAUAUGUACUUCGACUAUUUUCUCGAUUAUCGUGGCCAUCGCCUCACUGGUGGUGUUGCUUGGUACACUUAACCCACUUAGUACUUUGAAUAGGGUGUCCUUGUGACUAUCAGAGCUCAUUAACAAAUCCAUGAUUGAUAUUUUUGCUGGAGUUUUCUUCAGUUGCUCCUCCGCGGAAUACUCUUUGGUCGACAUUCUCUUCCAGAACUCGGCGGCUCUUGGGUUUGUUAUGUUCUUUCUUUGAAUUUGCUCUCUUCCCAAGUUCCCUUAAUUAACAUCUUCUAGAGCGUAGCAUCUCCCAGACCUAGUCAUACCAUGGGCUAUGACAGAGUCUGUCAUUUUGGCCUUCCCCUUUUACUGGUACGUCCAUGAGAUAGUUUUGUAUUCCUGACUUUCUUCAUCUCCUCUAGCAAUGACAGGUUGUCGCUGAUAAGUCUGAACAGUCGUUGUAGGGUUCAUAUGUACUGUAAUUAUUGGAGCUAUUUGAGUAGGGAUCCCAACGGCUUCUACAUUUUCUAUAGUGAUAAUUGUUCCCUUUAGGGCGUAUUCUUCGUCCAAUGUGAUCAUGUUAACUCCCGAGUUUUGGUGAUUUGGUAGCGGAUUGCGAUUAACAUUGGGCGGCACCGGAGUGCACUAAAUGGAUCCACUCUUGAUCAGUGUUUCAAUCUUAUUUUUAGCUUAAAACAAUCUUCAGUAUCGUGACCAAGUACAUUGGAAUGGUACACGCACCUUUUAGUAGCAUCAAACUACUUGGAGGGAUACUCAGGAACCCUUCCUUCAACUGGAUGUAUCAAUCUUGCUCUUCUCAAUCUCUCAAACAAUUGAGCCAGAGGCUCAGCGAUCGGGGUAUAAUUUCUAGGACCCCUCUCUUCAAAGUUGGGACGAGGGCGUGGUACAUAAGCGGGUCAGUUUUGGUGAGUAGUUGGACUUGAGCAUAUGGUCAUUGUGGGUUUGGGUUGUUCUUUGCUCGAGAAGGGUUGUAUUUUGAUUGAGGAUGAUAAUAUGGCUAGGUGUUAUAGACUAGAGUGUAAAUGGGUGGCGGUGAAUGAUUGUUUGGGGAAUAGGAAGUGUUUCCGUGAUGUGGGUUGGGUUGAUAGUAAGGGAAGACUGCUGAGACCUCUUUCUCCUUCGUUUUGCUACCGAUUGAUCCCGCUUAGAUGGACUUGCUGGCCAAUUGCAGUGCUGCAAUGAAUUGUACUUUACCGAGUUUUAUGCCCACUUCUAUGAAAUCUCCCAUCUUGACUAGCUCGGGGAAUUUCUGUCCCAUUAUUCCCAUCAUCUUUUCAAAGUAUAUCCCUUCAUAGGCUCUGAUGAAAUACUUGGUUAAUUCACCGUUGUCCAGCGGAGGUUGCGCCAUGUCCGCCUCUGACCUCCACCGAUGUGUAUAUUCUUUGGAUGACUCAAAUAGUUUUUUCUGCAGGUUCACUAGUGUGAACCUAUCGGAGUGUUCUUUGUGUUGAAUCGAAAGCGAUUCAUGAAGUCCUCUGCCAUAUCUUGCCAAGUUCUAUAAUUUCGUGGAUCCUGUCGCGUAUACCAGGUGAGUGCUUCUCCCUCGAGCUCCUUAUAAAUAACUUCAUCCUUAGCUUAUCAUUCCUCCCCACUGCGACUAACUUGUCACAAUAUACCCUCAAAUGUGCGUAGGGAUCACCCGCCCGAUCGAAGAUAUCAAACUUUGGAGGUUUAUACCAUGCUGGCAUAUCCACAUCUGGAUGAAUACACAAAUCCUCGUAGUCUAAACUUUCACUUCCUCGUGCAACUUGGAAGUUCUUCAUUUGUUUUCUCAAGAUUUGCAGUUGUUAAGAUACUGACUCCUCUUCCUUAUGCCUAGUUUCCCUUUCCAUCUCGGCGUAUUGGUCAAUCUUAUAAGGCACCCUGACCAUGACAUGUGCUAUAAAAAUAGGUCCAGUAAUGGCAUAUACAGGAGGAACAUACUACUCGUGGCGGGCGGUGUGUGCCACAGUUAUGUGUUGGUGAGUGGUAAAAGUGACUCUAUCAUGAGGAGGGGUGUGAGUUUCAUUGGUAGUGAUAAGCAGUUUUUGUGGUAUCUAGACGUACUGUGGUACGUAUGGAGUGUGGAUAGGGGGAUUUGGUGGGUUUGUGAGGAUUACUGGAGGUAUGAAUUGAGUGGUAGGGACUAAAGUAAGGGUGUUGUUGUUUUGGCUUGAUGUGGAAGGAAAGUGGUCAGGAAUUGAAUCCAAAGAAGGAAAACGAAGUGGUUGAGGAAGUGUUGUCACGGCCAGAUAUGCUAGUUCUAUGAUAUGUUGUACUUCCUCCCUUAGAGACUCUAUUUCCUGGGCCAUCCUGGCCAUGUGUUCAUUAUUCCUAGUAUCGUCUUUCUCCCUCGAUUGCCCCGGACUAUUGGCUAUGACCAGAGCAUGUUCGGUCGGGUUUUCUGUAGCUGGCAUCUUUUCUUUUGAUCUUAGAUUGUAUGGUGGCUCCGCCAGUUUCGGUCAACACAGCCUAACUUUCUUUUUCUUUUGUGGUAGUAAUAAAGCAAAAGAAAAAAUAAGAAGAAAUAAAAAGAAAUAGGAGUUAUGUGGUCAAACCGCAAAUGCGGUCCCAAGAUCCGCUUUUACGGUGAAAACUCCACACCUGCGGAAAUCACUUAACUCACCUGGGCUUGCACCUAUGCUCCAGAUCUCGCACCUGCGGAGGCACUUUUGCAGCCCAUGAUCCGCUUCUGCGAAAAUAGCCUACACCCCUCAACUCAUUCACACUCCGCUUUUGCGCCCUAUUGGUCGCAUCUAUGGCGUCGCAGGUGCGGAAAGGACCUCACACCUACAACCCCUGCCACUUUCUUCCUGGCCCGCUUCUGCGGCUCACUUCCCUCUUCUGCGGGCUCUCACCUGCAGUGCCCACUUCGCAGGUGCGAUUACACCAGCACUCCACAAACUUUAGCAACUCUUUAACUUCAAACCUUGAUCCGUUAACCACCCGAAAUAAACACAAGCCCCCCGGGACCUCAACCAAACAUACUCAUAAGUCCUAAAACAUCAUACGAACUUAGUUGUGACUUUAAAACACCUCAAACAAUAUCAAAAACACGAAUCGCACCCCAAUUCAAGCCUAAUGAACUUUGAAAUUUCCAAAUUCUACAAACGACGCCGAAACCUAUCAAAUCACGUCCGAUUGACCUCAAACUUUCCACACAAGUCACAAAUGACGCCACAAACCUACUCCCACUUCCGAAAAUCCAAUCCGACCCCGAUAUUCUAAAAUUCCAACUUUCGUCAUUUCAAGCAUAAUCCUACUAUGGACCUCCAAAUCACAAUAAAGACAUGCUCCUAAGUCCAAAUUCACCUAACAGAGAUAACAGAACCAUCAAAAUUCAAAUCCGAGGUCGUUUACACAUAAGUCAACAUCCGGUGAACUUUUCCAACUUAAGCUUUCAAUUAUGAGACUAAGUGUGUCAAUUCACUCUGAAAUCUCUCCGGGCCCGAACUAACUAACCCGGUAAGUCAUAUAACAGUUGUAGAGCACACAAGGAGUAGAAAAUAGGGGAACGGGGCUACAAAUCUCCAAACGACUGGUCGGGUCGUUACAAAGUCUGAAGGUUAGAUUUCAAACACACAUAGAGGUGAAAACACAAUAAUGUUACUGCUACAGAUCCCAAACACCUGAGAUCAUAUUUUAAGGAUAGAGCACAUAAUUCAUAUAUGCAGAAACCCAGAAAUACAGAUACCUCUGUCCUAGGAGACUAACAAUUGAUUGAUUAGCUUAGGUCUUUCCACUAGCACAUGUAUAGAUUAACAACACUACUUGAAACUUUUAAAAGCAUCAACAAGGAUUCAGAGAAACAGUUAUUAUCAGCAACUUUUACAGGUAUUAUUAAAGAUACCAGAAUACAAUCAAGACGCUUAGCAUGACUACAAGUUUACAGAUUCAAACAUGUAAUUCCUAAAGGUGCAUAACAGGAUCAUAGGUAAUCAACCCUACUUCAUUUGUAAUUGAUGGCAGAACCACAUCUUCGUAAGAACACUAAUCGUAUGUUCAAAUAGGUAGACUAUUAUGUCCAAACAGUAACAAUAAGAAGUUCUCUUAAGAUUUACAUAUUAGAUUCAUCUCAAAUUAGAAUGCAAAAAGAGGACUGAGUGGAAUUUCAAAGCAAAGUACAUGAACAUAAGAUCAUGAAGACAAACAGGGGUACAUACAACAUUUUAAAUCAACUACACAUAGAUACUUCAAAUGAGGUUAUGAUCUUACACAGACAAGGUAAGUUUUCACCUAUUAUAAGACCAAGUCAGCAAUGUCAUAAAAGAGAUUAAGAACAAGGAAAGCAUUGUACCAAACAGGUUUAACUCAGCUAUACAGACUGAGAUUUACAUCUAACAUGAGGCAGUUAUGCAUCAGCUUGAAAAUAGAUAUCAUUAAACUAUGAUAGACAUAGUUAUAACCUAUUUUUAUGAAAAGAUAACUUGAUCGUAACGGGAUAUAUGCAGAAAGGUUACUGAUAUUCAUGAAGGUUCACCUUAAUGAGACUGUUUUAUAUAGAGAAACGUAGAUAGGCAACUAACAAUUAGAUACAGACAUAAACUCUUAUAGCAAUGACUCACAAGUUUCUUUUAGAGAUGGCAAACACUUACAUGAAGAAGGAAAUCAUUUAAACAUUUAAACCUCACAUACUUCAACUAAAUGGUGAAGGAUUAAGCUAUGAUCUUUCAGGUUUGUUCUAGUUAGAAUUCUCAAACAACAAUCUCAACUACAGAAUGCAGGAAACAGUGUGGUAGAGAUAGCAAUCACAACAUAAUCAAGAAAAUAGGAAGUCUAGGCAAACAUGAGAAGUCAUUAAGGCACAUUAAGGAAACUUAAUUAUGUAUACUAUUUGAAAUCAUAAUGAAAGUCAUUAAGGUCACAUGGCAACUCAAUCAACACCAAUUGAAGAUAUUCAGAAGUAUGGUGAAUGACCACAAAAUUAACGAUACGCUAUCAUGAACUGGAUAUAACAUCUACACACUAAUGACAACAUCAUAAACGAACACAGCCAAUAAAAAGAUAAUAGCAUAGUCGUGAUACUUGAAUAAAAUAAUCAAAAGAGAAACUUUGGAGGUGUACUGACCUUCUCUAGGGCAGCAUACCAAACAAAGAUUCUUUCUAAUUUUUUAGGACCCAAAUCUUCAAGCUUGAGCAAUGAAAUUACUCAAAAACGAAGAGAGAAAACCCAAACAUAGUAAAGAAAAAUAAAUUUUAUGAAAUCUUAGUGUUGCGUUUUUUGUUCGUGUUAGGUUUGGUCUGUUAGGUGAGAGCAUUGAAGGCUCCUUUUAUAGUGGCAUUCAAUGCCUCUAUAGUUCAGAAAAAUUCAAAUUAGAUAGUGGAAGAUGACGAUGAGAUGAUGAUGUGAGCAAUCUGAGUGAAAUCAUAGAAGAGUAGAGAGGAAAACAACAAAGAUUUUUACCUUAGAAGAGAGAUUGAUCGUUGAACGCAUAGGACCAUCGGCCAAGACUUAAAACCCAGAGGUCACUACUUUUGACCUCUGGGUAAAGAAUCCUCAUAUUUAAUCCUCUGAAAAACUUCAUGCAUGCUCCGAUAUGACGGAGUUAAACAACGUUUAAGCGAUUUGAAGUUACACCUUCAAGCUAGGGUUUCAGAUUUGAGGGGUUUUGAAUCUAAUUAAUGAAAAUGGAAAGUGAAUCACUGGCCUCAUAGCCUAGGGACAAAGCGGAUGAUUCUGCAACUUGGAUUUGAAAGAACAAAGAUGAAAUGAGUGCUUCGAUUCAGCCAUGUCUGGUGCUUCAGAUUGAAGAGGAAAAGGGGAAGGUCAACAUGAUUCUCAGAUGAGGAAGCGAGGAAGGACAAUUUAGUGAAGGAUUUUGUGACCUUGCACUGAUUUGUGCAAGGUUCUGUGACUGAUGGGGUUUUAAGGGAUGAGAAAAGAGAGAGUUUUUGAAAAUGGGGCGGCUGAUCUUGGGAGAGAAUGAUUAGGGUUGGAGGUUAUCUCCAAGUUUAAAACGGG